GCUUAGAUGAAGAUCUGAAACAGUUUUUCGAUCUGAAUUCUGUUGGAUUUCGUGACGGGUGGAGUGUUUUCUGCACUCGAUUAUGUAGUCAGAAUUUUCAGGGAAGAGUUAUCAGUUUGAAUUCUACUGGUUUUUUCAUUUGGGACUUUAUGCUUUGGAUUUUGCCAUGGUAGGUGGCAGUGAUCCGGAAGGGAGUCAGUUUCUGAGGUUUCUCUUUUCUCCAUUUUCGUUUUUUUUUUUUUUUUCAUUUGAGAAUGUUGAAUUGUGUCAAUCUCUAUGGAAAGAACCGUAGUUUUAGAUUUUGAAGUUGUCAGUUAUUGGAAAGAUCCUUAACCACUCAACAGGGCUGUGUCUGUGAAGAAUUAUGUAUAUAUCGAUCUGGUGUUUCAGCUGAACAUCUAUUGUCCCAUUGAUGUGAGUGGCUCUAGUCUGCCAUCUGUUUCUUGGGUCGAUUGACAUAUUGGUUGAAAAGAGGUUCCUUUCAUCUUUGGUGGUUAGAGCUGAUUGGCUUGUGUUAAACAGGAUACUCACUGUAUUUUUGGAUUCCUGUUUUUUGUUUACUAUUUUGAGUUUCUAUUAUAUUCUCUUAGCUUUCGAGCAUAAUAUUCUCCUGUUCUGAUUUCUUUCUCAUGAAAUCUAGGCGAAUUCUUCCUUCAAAUUAUCUCUGCAGAUGACUUCUUGCUUCACUGCAUCUCUGCAUAAAAUUCAUUAUAUGUAAAAAUAAAAAGUAAAGAAGAAGAAGAGAUUUUGGUGUUCUGACAUGUAUUACAUCCUGAUUCAUCCAGUCUGUAUGUGGGACCCAUGGUUCAGUGAUCCAGACCGUUAAUCUA